rnacentral:rRNA from 1 species
UACGAAGGGGGCUAGCGUUGCUCGGAUUGACUGGGCGUAAAGGGCGCGUAGGCGGUUCGUACAGUCAGACGUGAAAUUCCUGGGCUCAACCUGGGGGCUGCGUUUUGAUACGUGCGGACUUGAGUGCGGAAGAGGGUCGUGGAAUUCCCAGUGUAGAGGUGAAAUUCGUAGAUAUUGGGAAGAACACCGGUGGCGAAGGCGGCGACCUGGUCCGGUACUGACGCUGAUGCGCGAAAGCGUGGGGAGCAAACGGG